AUGCCUGGUUGGUUAUUGGAUAUUUUUUUUCUGCGUAGUGAAACCGUUGUAAGCGCUGAGAAGAUUGUAGAAAGUGGGAGGCAUCAUGAUGACCUUGAUCAGAAGUUGCACCCACAAGAGAUCUUUAACAAAAGAAGUAAUGAACUUUGAUUUCACUGGCGUGAGAAGAAGGGUGAUGAUGAUGAGAAACAUCCACCAUAUCAAAGGUCAGUCUUCUCGGAGGAGGUUCACUCUUUUAUACUUCCAUCCGCUACCGUUUUGAGAAUUUUCAGCCAGAUUGGUCAACUUAUCUACCAAAGGAAGCUUGGUAGAGCCGAGGAUCAACUAGAGCUUUCAUCCAGAUUGGUCGACUUAUCUAUCAAAGGAAGCUUGGUGGAGCCGAGGAUAAACUAGAGCCUACGUAUGAUAAGGUGGAUUUCUUAUUUGGCAUCUCUAUAUACUUGUAUCUUGCAUCAAGAAUGGAUAUUCGCUUGGUACCGAGAACACCAUGAGGAAUCUUCUUGAAAAUCUCUUGGAUCAUUGAUGAGUGUAUUAGUCUUU